GCAACGGCAGGCACAUCCCCGCGCCGCCUCUUCCUCUUCGAUUCCCCAAUCUCCUCCCCGUCUCCUCCGCCCCCCAAAAAUCCUCCUAAAUUGCCAGUCUCACCAGCCGGCGGAACCCUAGCUCUGGAGCUACUGCCAGGCCAGGACGGCGGAACCGGCCGCUCCUUCCCUGGCGCCGCACUUCGGAGGCCUGCGCUGCUCGGCGCGUCCCUCGCCCGCGUCUUUCCUCCGGCCACACCUUCAGGAUUCGCGCCGCUCCGGUCCAAGGGCUUUAGAGGCUUGCUACCGUUGCCGUCCUCUUUACCUCUGCGCGCGCACAUGUAUGAUUUUGACCUUCGUAGCGCUCCGGUCUCUCUGAUCUUGGCCCUUCUGUCGUUGAUGCCCCGAUGCUAUUGCGAACACCUUCAGGAUUCACGAACACAA
rnacentral:rRNA from 1 species